rnacentral:rRNA from 1 species
ACGGCUGAGGAACACGUGGGAACCUGCCGCCUUGUGGGGGACAACAGCGCGAAAGCGCUGCUAAUCCCGCAUACGCUCGCGCAAGCGAGGAAAGCCGAAAGGCGCAGGGCGAGGGGCCCGCGGCCCAUCAGGUCGUAGGUGGGGUAACGGCCUACCUAGCCGAUGACGGGUAGCUGGUCUGUGAGGACAGACAGCCAGACUGGGACUGAGACACGGCCCAGACUCCUACGGGAGGCAGCAGCAAGGAAUUUUCGUCAAUGGGGGCAACCCUGAACGAGCAACGCCGCGUGCAGGAUGACGGCCUUCGGGUUGUAAACUGCUUUUGGGAGGGACGAUGAUGACGGUACCUCCUGAAUAAGGCUCGGCUAACUCUGUGCCAGCAGCCGCGGUAAUACAGAGGAGCCAAGCGUUGUCCGGAUUGACUGGGCGUAAAGCGCACGCAGGCGGUCGCGCGCGUGGGGUGUGAAAUCUGGCCGCUUAACGGCCAGGCGCCAUCCCAUACGGCGCGACUGGAGGCUUGCAGAGGUCGGUGGAAUUGCCGGUGUAGUGGUGAAAUGCGUAGA